rnacentral:rRNA from 1 species
AUGGGCGCGGUGGUCAUGAGGAAAGUGGUUGUGGACGGUGAGAUGGAAGUUGUAGCCUACCCGCUGCCCAGGACAAGGACGACUGCCCUGACGCUCCCCCUUCUUCACAAUCUCGCGCUGGGAGAGGAGGGGGUGGCCACUAUUUUCUUCGGCACUCCUCGGCCUUAUCCACAUUCCACAGGUGACCUCGCCAGACCACUUGCUAUGAAGGGGGAGGAGAUAGCUGAAGUCGAGGGUGUUGUUGAUGAAAUAAAAGGUGUUGAUAAAAUAGAGCCUUGUGAAGAACAGAGGAUACAAUACCGAAAGAUUAUGCCAUACUUAUUUGCAUGUCAUGCUAUAUAA